AGAGAGAAAUGCAACCCACAACAGCAAGAACUUGGGACUGCACUGGAAGCAGUAGAGCCCUCCCGCAGAUCCGAAAGGACUCUGGGGACUCUCAUCGCCUAGCGGUUUGAUCUCUGGGCAGCUGGAGCCUGAUCACCCCCAGUCACCAGAGAAACUGAAAGCAACAUCCACUCCUGCAGUCUGCCAGUAGAAUGAAUGUGAUGUGUGUGUGAGUAUAAUUGUGUCGAUAAGGGAAGCAAGUAAUAAAUCAACCCUCAGUACUGCUUGAGUUCAACCUUGUUUGUGAUUAUUUCUUGGCUGGUUCCAAGAAUGGAUAACAUUAAUUGGUGCAUUGGCCAGGAAACAAAGGAUUAAAUGGAACUCAAGUAGCAUUUGACGAACAGGCUUGGGUUCCUGUAUACGAAGUAGAGAAAAGGGUGUGUGGCACUGUAAACUAGUUCUCCCCCCUUUUGGCAUGGCUGCAGAAUUUAGGCACAGAUCCCUGGAGUCCCAGGGUGAUCUCGGAAGGGGACACGAUCCUGGCCCCGGAGAAUAAUUAUGAGAAGUAUUUAGCGUUGUACAAGCGGACAGACUGCCACGGGAGCAUGGCUUUUGUGGCAAACAUGCUGGAUUUGGCAAGCUGCUAAAGUGGAGUGUACCAGGGAACUGGAGGUGCUCUGCCAGGACUUAAUGGAGGCUCAAAAGAAAUGUGACCUGUGGAAAGUUCAGGCACAGACAGUCUCGGCUCCUGCUGCCUCUGCUGCCAUAUCAGCAGUGAAAAUGGAAGAUAGUCAUAUUAGAUCCCAGGACUUAUAGGAAGAAAACAGGGAUCUAAAGGCACAUUACCCUCCUUAAGGAUUUAUUGGGGGGACCUGGCCCAUGCACCUCAAUGCCCCAAUUAGCCUUCCCCGAGUCAAACAAGGGCCCCUAUGGCAAAUGGGUUCACAGGAGCCAGCUUAAAGCUAUAGGAAUACCUUCCCCCAUAAAGGAACUCUGGUAAGGAAGGGAAGCAGACGGGGGGGGGACUAAAAUGUCACUUUUCUUGAAUAUAGUUGCUUGAAUUUCUAGGUCACUUACUUUGUUUCUCAUUAUUUUUGGCUUAAAUACCGUAUUCUUCUAUUUUCCAAUGUUAUCUGUUUAUUAUCAUGAUAUAAAAGGAUGCAAAAUAAAAGCAUUUUAAUUGUUUAUAACAUUUUAGCUGUCAGAAAAUUAUAGUCAAUAUUGCUAAACCUUGAAGGAAUAAAAUCACUUUUGUUUAUUGAUAUAUCUAGGGUGAGUGGUUGAUACCUGGGGGAGCAAGCAGCUGUGCAUAUAUCUCUGUCAGUGUUGUAAAGGACGGACAGUAGUUUGUGAGUUUGCCCUGUGUAAGCUUUAUGCAGAGUAAAACAAAUUUAUUUGGGGUUUGGAUCCCACUGGGACCUGGGUGUCUGGGUGUUGAAGACAGGUGACUUACUAAGCUCUUUCAGUUGAGUCUGCAGCUUUGAGGCAUGGACUGGACCCUGGGUCUGUGUUGCAGCAGGCUGUGACUCAACAGGACAGGGUUCUGGAGUCCCAAGCUGACAGAAAAAAUGGGCUCAGAGGUAAUUUCAGCACAUCAGUCACAAGAAGGUUUCUGUGACUGAAGCCAGUGGUGUAGUCAAACAGAAUCUAAGCACAGCUGAUUGCUUUGAAACAAUUUUAAGUGAGUUUUAAGUAUGGUGGCUGAAAAAACAGACAAAGUGGUUACUGGUUUGUUAUUUUCUUAAUGCACCCCAUUGUUGUCUUAGUUAUUUUUCUUGGUAUACCUUUCAUUAUAUUUUUAUACUUUUGUUGUUACACAUGGUCAUCAGUUCAGCAAAUCACCAAGCUCCACCAGCUGUUCUGGGGGGGGGCACUGUCUGACGAUCCUUUCUGUGAUCCAUUGAUCAUGGGUGGUGGAGGGCAAUGUAGCCAGAUGUGCGCCCCCCCCCCCGAUUUGCUUUUUCAAAAGCAGUCUAAAUAGCUUCCUGUUAUGUUGUUACAAAACCACAAACAGCAGCAGAAGUCCCUGCUGAUUUUAGGUGGCUGCUUAAAGCUGUAUAUCACCAAUUGCAUUCAUACUUAUGAAUAUGUAACAAAACUAAUUAAUGAAGGAAUGAGUGAGAUAGUGUGAAUGUAAGAAACCAAUCACAAGGUUUAACCGAAAUAUUACCAUGUAAGGAUAAUUAAGGUGUAUAUGGGGCUGUAUAUAAACCUACGGCAGUAGCGGCCAGAGAGAGAUGUAACCCAUGUCUGAAAGAACUUAUGACCAGACCGGAAGCAGUAGAGCCCUUCUGCAGAUCUGGAAGGACUCCGGGGACUCUCAUUACCUAGUGGUUCGAUUUCUGGGCAGCUGGAGCCUGAUCCCCCACCCACCUGUGAAACUGAAAGCAAUGUCUUGUGCCUGCAGUCUGCCAAUAGAAUGAAUACGAUGUUUGUGUGAGUGUAAUUGUGUAGAUAAGGGAGGCAAGUAAUAAAUCAUCCCUCAGUACUGCUCGUGUUCAACCUUUGUUUGUGGUUAUUUCUUGGCUGGUUCCAAGAACGGUUAACAGCCUCAACUGCUGGAAUCAACAGUAAACAGGCAAAGGAGCAUCAGAGAUACUCCAAUGUUGCAAACUCUCAUGAUUUUAUUUUGGUUAAGGGCAGACCCAUUCUGGUAAUUAUGCAAGAAGUUCCAGCCCUCUCAAGAAUUUUAGCCCUACCAAGAAGAUAAAUCUCUCUGACUGGUUGCCAUCUCUACUUCAUCAACUCCUGAGGAAGAGCAGCCAAUCAGAGCUGCCACAGCAGGCAGAGUUUGCAUCCCU